rnacentral:rRNA from 1 species
GAUUUCUGACUUGGCGCACCUGGCCCGCCACGGUUACGUGUGUGAGUGCCGGGAUGCGCCUGUCACUUUUCUAGUAAACUAUUGUACUCUUCAUUGAGUGCGAUAGGUAGCUAGAUAUUUUACUUUGAAAAAAUUAGAGUGUUUAAAGCAGGCGUUUGCUAUGAAUACAUUAGCAUGGAAUAAUAAUUUAGGACUUUUGUCUUAUUUUGUUGGUUUUCGGACUUAAGUAAUGAUUGAUAGGGAUAGUUGGGGGUGCUAGUAUUCAGCGGCCAGAGGUGAAAUUCUUGGAUUCGCUGAAGACUAACUUAUGCGAAAGCAUU